GUCCUACUUGACACUAUUCACAGCUACCAGCUGAAGCUGAAGGGCUCAAAGGCAGAGCCAUGGUAGUGAAAAAGAAGACUUCCAAAGUGGAGGCUGUGGCGCUGGAUGAGGAGAAACUGCACAAGCUGUUAGCAUCCCUCUCAGUUGAUGGAGGAGAAGAUGGAGUCGGGCAGGUUGCCCAAACCCUGCAGUCCUGUUUGGAGCUGACAGAGCCGGUGCAGCAGAUCCAGCUGGUUAAAAAGG